GACAGCGUGGCGUGGUGGUUUGAGCAUUAGGCUACGACUCUGGAGACCAGGGUUCGAUUCCCUGCUUGGCCA